GACGAACGCUGGCGGCGUGCUUAGCACAUGCAAGUCGAACGGAAAGGCCCUGCUUUUGUGGGGUGCUCGAGUGGCGAACGGGUGAGUAACACGUGAGUAACCUGCCCUUGACUUUGGGAUAACUUCAGGAAACUGGGGCUAAUACCGGAUAGGAGCUCCUGCUGCAUGGUGGGGGUUGGAAAGUUUCGGCGGUUAGGGAUGGACUCGCGGCUUAUCAGCUUGUUGGUGGGGUAGUGGCUUACCAAGGCUUUGACGGGUAGCCGGCCUGAGAGGGUGACCGGCCACAUUGGGACUGAGAUACGGCCCAGACUCCUACGGGAGGCAGCAGUGGGGAAUAUUGCACAAUGGGCGGAAGCCUGAUGCAGCAACGCCGCGUGCGGGAUGACGGCCUUCGGGUUGUAAACCGCUUUCGCCUGUGACGAAGCGUGAGUGACGGUAAUGGGUAAAGAAGCACCGGCUAACUACGUG
rnacentral:rRNA from 1 species